rnacentral:rRNA from 1 species
AUUGAACGCUGGCGGCAGGCCUAACACAUGCAAGUCGAGCGGAUGAAGGGAGCUUGCUCCUGGAUUCAGCGGCGGACGGGUGAGUAAUGCCUAGGAAUCUGCCUGGUAGUGGGGGAUAACGUCCGGAAACGGGCGCUAAUACCGCCUACGUCCUGAGGGAGAAGGUGGGGGAUCUUCGGACCUCACGCUAUCAGAUGAGCCUAGGUCGGAUUAGCUAGUUGGUGGGGUAAAGGCCUACUAAGGCGACGAUCCGUAACUGGUCGGAGAGGAUGAUCAGUCGCACUGGAACUGAGACACGGUCCAGACUCCUACGGGAGGCAGCAGUGGGGAAUGUUGGACAAUGGGCGGAAGCCUGGUCCAGCCAUGCCGCGUGUGUGAAGAAGGUCUUCGGAUUGUAAAGCACGUUAAGUUGGGAGGAAGGGCAGUAAGUUAAUACCUAGCUGUUUUGACGGUACCAACAGAAUAAGCACCGGCUAACUUCGUG